rnacentral:rRNA from 1 species
GACGAACGCUGGCGGCGCGCUUAACACAUGCAAGUCGAACGGAAAGGCCUGCCUUCCAUUGUGGAUUGCGGGUAAUCGGGUGGCGAACGGGUGAGUAACACGUGAGUGAUCUGCCCCCAAGUUGGGGAAAAGCCGGGGAAAAUGGGUCUAAUUCACGCUAGGGGUGCAGGGGGGGGACGGUGGGGGAAAACGAUGGUCGAGUGGGUGGGGUUGAGCCUGGGGCCUGUCAGCUUGUUGGUGGGGUAAGGGCCUACUAAGGCGGCGACGGGUAGCCGGCCGGGGAGCGUCGCCGGCCACUGUAGGACUGCGUUACGGCCCAGACUCCUCCGGGAGGCCUCCGUGGGGCAUCAGGCACAAUGGGCGGAAGCCUGAUGCAGCGAUGCCGCGUGGAGGAUGCCUGCCUUCGGAUGGUCAACUCCUUUCGACCGCCAUGCAGCCACCUGGUUGGAAUGGUGGUGACGGUAGUGGUAGAAGAAGCACCGGCUAACUACGUG